rnacentral:rRNA from 1 species
UACGGAGGGAGCUAGCGUUGUUCGGAAUUACUGGGCGUAAAGCGCACGUAGGCGGCUUUGCAAGUUAGAGGUGAAAGCCCGGGGCUCAACUCCGGAAUUGCCUUUAAAACUGCAUCGCUAGAGUUGUGGAGAGGUAAGUGGAAUUCCGAGUGUAGAGGUGAAAUUCGUAGAUAUUCGGAAGAACACCAGUGGCGAAGGCGACUUACUGGACACAUACUGACGCUGAGGUGCGAAAGCGUGGGGAGCGAACAGG